rnacentral:lncRNA from 1 species
ACAACUAAUAAAUUAGUUAUGAAAUUUCCUUCUCCGUUACUAGCUGCCAGACCCGUUGACUACUAUAUUAUUUUUUAUUUUUUAUUUUUUACCAUCCCUCCAACGCCCUGCUGUCUCAUCCAUAUAGCUUAGUUUAUCUUUUCAAUGAAUGAAACAGAUAGCGUGCUAUUUUUUUCUCAAAAAAAAAAACUUUGCAGAGCAUAUAUAUAAUGAGUUUUAAUUUAUUUUUUUU